rnacentral:rRNA from 1 species
AAAACCUUCAACAACGGAUCUCUUGGUUCUGGCAUCGAUGAAGAACGCAGCGAAAUGCGAUACGUAAUGUGAAUUGCAGAAUUCCGUGAAUCAUCGAAUCUUUGAACGCACAUUGCACCCGGUGGUAUUCCGCCGGGUAUGCCUGUCUGAGCGUCAUUUCUACCCUCAAGCCCCCUAAAAAGAGCUUGGUGUUGGCGGAUUGCCCUCCCACUGCGGCAACCGCUGAAAUCGAAUGGCGGUAGCACACUCUGUUCCCUGUACAGUAACAAUUUCUUACAGCGGUCAUAGUGGACUUUACCGGCCCAAGACGCCCCAACUUAGCAAAAGUUGACCUCAGAUCAGGUAGGAAUACCCGCUGAACUUAAGCAUAUCAAUAAGCGGAGGAAAAGAAACCAACAGGGAUUGCCUCAGUAACGGCGAGUGAAGCGGCAACAGUCCAAAUUUGAAAUCUGGCCCCCUCCGGGGUCCGAGUUGUAAUUUGCAGAGGAUGCUUUUGGCGACGCGCCUUCCGAGUUCCCUGGAACGGGACGCCUGAGAGGGUGAGAGCCCCGUACGGUCGGACGCCUAGCCUGUGUAAAGCUCCCUCGACGAGUCGAGUAGUUUGGGAAUGCUGCUCCAAAUGGGAGGUAUACUUCUUCUAAGACUAAAUACCGGCCAGAGACCGAUAGCGCACAAGUAGGGUGAUCGAAAGAUGAAAAGCACUUUGGAAAGAGAGUCAAAAAGUACGUGAAAUUGUUGAAGGGAAAGCGCCCGCGACCAGACUCGGGCCCGUAGCUUAGCCGGCGUUCUCCGCCGUCGCACUCUGCGGGUCCGGGCCAGCAUCAGUUCGUCCGCCGGGAAAAGACCGCUGGAAUGUGGCUCUUCGGAGUGUUAUAGCCUCGGCGUACUACCCUCUGACGGACUGAGGACCGCGCAUUUUUCGCAAGGAUGCUGGCGUAAUGGUCUCUAGCGACCCGUCUUGAAACACGGACC